CAGCAGUUAUUUUGAAGCCAAAUGAUUGACUGAACUUAGCAUUUUUCCGCAGCAACAAGUUCUAGUGUGAAAAUAAAACCUCAGAGAAGAGCAGCAAGUUCAAGCAGCACAAAGCAAAGCAGAGAAGCGUACUUUUAUUUGAUACAAUGCCUCUUAGGAUUUAGAUAUGGAUGAACUAAAAGCUUGGAAAAUCUGGAAAGAAGAGAAAUGGCCGGAAAACACUUCUGGUUGCCCCUAGGUGGUUGUACCUUCAGAAUGAAAUGAAGAACCUCAUUUGUCAACCUCAGAGUACAAGAAAGUGGAUUAGGAAGUAUGAAAACAUUAAAGAAGUCGUGUUCUAAUGGUAUUUAUUAGAGAAGUAAACCACAAGUCAUUUACUCUGAACUAGAUGGUGGUUCAUGCAGUGACCAAAGGAAAAUAUGACACUUGAUUUUCUGGAAUCGGAAACAACAGAGAAAUCAGACUUUGCAUUUUAAGUGGCUGAAGUCAGUAUCAACAGAGUUGAAUAACCCAUAAUUUACCUAUUGAAAUAAAAUAAACCAGCUUUUAAAAUAUUUUAUGUAUCCAAUUCUUUUACUGAGAUAGAGGUAGAUAUAAAGUCUCUUAGAUGCCAACAAUUACAGGAAAAUUAGGAAGUAUA
rnacentral:lncRNA from 1 species